UUUGUUUUACAGAAGAUCAUAUCUGUGCGGUCACCAUCAAGGAUAUGGAUUAGAAGACAUUUAAAAGUCUGUCUUUAGAGGAAAAACUUGAGAAUAAACUCCUCGGUGCCCACCAGUGGCGGAAUAUUGUUAUAAACCAAACCUCUAAAAACGUGUAGGGUUAUCCAGGAGCAAAAAGGGCUAAUUGCUAACUUUAGCUUGUCGGAGAAGACGGUUUUAUGUUGUUCCCGUGUGUUUUCUUCGGAUUCGGGUUGGUACAGAACCAUAGAGUGUUAAUAUAAAUAUACAGUAUAUGUACAGAACAGGCUUUCAGGAUCUCCGGCAUCAUUCUGAGAGGAUUACCCAACACGAAAGCAGCCGGACGACGCGGUAAAAUUGGGCAAACAUGGCUAACUUUACCCAAACUGACAGAGCGUACACAGCAACCUAAGGAGAACAGCUGUUGAACGUCAACUCCUGAGUUACCUGAGUCUGCCUGGGUUACUCCCAAGGUCCACCUUCCUGCACCAUCUGCUGUGUGUCUACCCGUGUGAAGCUAAAAGAAACGAGCACCGAACGUUUGCCACAGAGUAAACACUUCCACUCCGGAUUGGACCAAAGUAAGCGAGCUGUAGAUUUGACCGCGCCCUCAAAUGAGAUCAUACCUUCCUUCGCCGCUACAAGCCAGCAGAUUGAGACCAGUUCAUGUUUUACGGACACAACAGGCAGUGUUUCCAGUGUUCAGGAUGCAGAUGGGAGCUGCGGGCAGGUUUCAGGGGGUGGGUUGAGGUCUCUGAACGGCUCCGAGAGGCGCGGACCCUGCAGGCGGGACAGCAGCGUGGUCCGGCGGCUGCUGCUGACGGAAUCCUGUUGGUUUAACUUGGCCUUCAGCGGGCGGCAGCACUGCAUGCUGCCCGCAAAGUCCGAGAGGAGGUGGCCGCUGAAGAUCAUGUAGAUCCAGGGGUUGCAGCAGCUGUUGAGGCUGGCCAGCAGGGCGGUGAGCGUCACCGUGGUGUUCUCGGAGUCUGCAGGGAAACAAAAGAUUUAUGAGGCACGCACUCAGAUGUUAACAACUAAUCAGAGGUGUUUACUCGUUCUCUGGAGUCGCUGGCAUGCCUGCCAAAUGUUUAUUCUCCCCUCCAGCCCCAGUUUGAGCCUGUAAUCGCUGGAUUUACAGUUUGGGACUUUUGCAUUUUGGAUUUUAUCCAGUACAACGGACCUGUGUCCAGUGCUCCGACACUUUUUGGCUGUUUGUAUAGAAAUAUAUAUGAUCUUGUAAUGUUUUCAGUUCAUUUAAUGUUGUAAAACGAAUGUGUAACUUCUUACCUUUCUAAGAGAAAAUCAUUUUAACCAUUUACAUUAGCUUUGUCUUUACAAUAGUCAGCAAAAGGAAGCUAAUACCGGUGAAUUAGCCGCGCCAUGCUACCCUUGGCUAUGCUGGGACAGCCCUAUCUCCCCGCUGUAAAAACUCACUGGGCACUGGUGGUUUUUCCGGGGGGCCGUACUUGUUCUUCACAAUAAAAUGACAUGCAUCAACAACUCCA